GUACUUACCUAGCAGGGGAAAUACCAUGAUCACCAGGUCUCUUGUAGAAGUGGUUUUCCCAGAUUGAGGCCUGUCCCUUGUACUCCAGGUAUGCUGACCCCUGCUAGUUUUCCCAAAUGCAGGAAACUUGACUGCACAAUUUUGUGGCAAAGAGAGAUUACUUUCUUGCUUC
rnacentral:snRNA from 1 species